GUUGUUACACUCUGUCACAGAGUUUGCCUGCUCCGCUCCGAUAUCACUCCUAUCGUUAUCAAUGAUAUCAAUAAUCGUCAAUAAUAAAAAUUGAACAUCAACCAUUGUCAAUAAAAAUAAAAAAUAUUCUACCGAAAAAUUUUCAAAAAAUAUUUUUUUAUUUUUCUGAUUUUGUUUAAAAAAUUCCAAAACACGUGUAGUGAAAACUGACAUGAAUCAUUUGUAAUUACUGACACGUCCGGUAGUGAAUUUUCAUUGAAAAAUUUAGUGUAUUAUAUCGGAGCGAAGAGCGGCGAUAUUUCUGAUUGAUAGAGUAAAUAAAUAAAAAUAAAUAUUUAAAUAUACGAGUGGCUGUUGGUUGUCAAGUGUGUGUCUGGUGUAAGUGUGUGCAGUGUGUGUGUGAGUGAUUGCCAAUGGCAAUGAUUUAGCGAGAGUUGACAUAUAAUAUUUACAGUGGAGGCAUAUCCGCGGUUGCACGUGACAUCCACUGACACGCGGACAAUGCAAUGGAAUUUUCGGUUUCGAAUCUAGUGCGUUUUGUGCUGGUGCUUCUGCAGUACUGAAAUAUCCUAUCCCUGUCGGUCUCUUUCUAUCCGAUGGUGAUCGUGAUCGGAUCUCAUGAUGCUCAUCGCUCUGGAGUACUCUCUGCUCCAGAAUUCAACAUCCAGAAUGUGUGCAUGUAGAUAAUAAAGGUGUGCUAAUGUGUGUAUGCAAGUGUCUCUGUGUCAUGUCUCGUAUAUGUGUGAUAUGUUAUAUAUCCAGUUUGCAGUGUAAAGUGGACCCUGUGAUUUUGAUUACCAGGUUCCAUUGAGCUUCGAUCGAGGUGACUGAGUGGAUGACUUCUAGUGAUAGUGAUUACGAUCGAGAGUCCAAGUCAAGCACGCUCCGCUGCCAGUCCUCUGUUUACAUCCUCCGAUUUUCAUAUUUAGGGACUAAUUGUCGAUCAUCGAUCUUCUUUCGUCCAAUGAUACCCUCCAGAAUACGAGCGUCAAAAUCAAGGAGUAGGAGCCAGCCGACCCCCGAGGCAUUGGUAGUAUGCAUGCGCAGAAGGGAGAAGUCGAUUGGCACUGUGAUUUUGCAAUCUAGACACGUAUGGAGUGGAGUCUCUCGCGGAAUAUUAGCCGGUAGCUGAUUCGAGCCUACACAUUGGACGGCAAGCAGAGGGACUGACGUGCAUACUGUAUUAAGCCCUGGGGACUUUGCUGUCUUGAUCAACAUCCAACGGUCGAUUCAAUUCCAAAGUGCACUCUCAUUAUCAAGAACCAGUUAAAUAAAAGUAUCAAGCAAAUCCUGUCUGGCUCAUCAAAUUGCAAGAUAGGCUCAUCAGCUCAUCACAUCUGACUGCUAAGAGAGUAAAUUCACUGACACUGGAUAUACUAGAUCUGCUGCAGGAUCUGACGGGUAGUGACUGCCGACACGUGCGCACCUCCCCCUCCCCAUAAUCGAGAGGGUGUUUUGUGUACAUCAACUGAGAUCAAACACGCGUCCUUUUUAUCUGCUUUGAUUUUGUAAAUUGAAAAAAGAUGAUCGGCUGCUUUAAUUUUUUAGAUAGAGUCUUUCAAUUUGGAUUUAAAUCGACUGGGUUAGAAUCUGAUCUAUGUAUUAAGUAUAACACACUGAUAGAAGGAUUUAUUUGUAUUAAAAAAUAAUUGUUAAUAGUUAA
rnacentral:misc_RNA from 1 species